rnacentral:lncRNA from 1 species
CUUUUUUUUUUUUUUUUUUUUUAAUAAUAUCUGGCACUUGACUUGGUUUCUCUAGCUUUUGCAACAUCUCCUAUGGCUGUUUUGGUGAUAGCAGUUUGAAAAACUAAAUUGCUAUAUAUCUGGAAUUUAUGAAUGCACAUAAAUCAUUAUAUCAUUAAACAAUUGUCUUUGAAAUCCUUUAAAUCAUUAAACUCCCCCUCUCCAUGAUAGCAGAAACAUGUUAACAAAUAGAGCUCUCUAUAAAUAACACAGCAGGGAAGAAAGCUCCCGCUGGGCACCCAUUUCCCCCUUCUUACAUAGAGACUAUUUGUUACCUUCUUGGCACCGGCAGGUCUGGAACUCCUGCUGCUAAAGACUAAUGUAUUUUACAUUAACACUCAAAGUGAUCCCCAAUUUCUUCUGCUCAAGGGUGGAUUGUUUUUAAAAUUCUUUUAUCUUUACAUGUAAAUUAUUUAUAGACUUUUUUUUUUUCCAUUUCUAGUUUGGUGUGGUUGGCAAAUCUCUACCACUAAAAACAAGCUCACCACUCCCCCCACCCCAAAAAAAUGAAUGAAUUAGCUUCUCUGAAGCUUUUUCGUUUUGCUGAUUUUAAGAGAAAACUUUCAGAAACCUAAUAAAAUUGUUUUGCAUUUCUACCUUGUCUAAUAUGAAGACUAACAACUAACUAUUGAUUGUUAUUUCACUCCCUGUUUUCUAUGAUGAUAUAUGAUCACAAUUGUAUUUCAAUUUUUAAAAUUACACAUGCUUUGUUUUAUUUCUCAAAAAGUGCUAAUGAGAAUGAGGGAAACAUUUCCAAUCUGUGAUUUGGGCAUGGUUUUUCAAAUGUGAAAUGUUCUCUUUUUCUAGCAGCAGUUAAAAAUGUAAACACACCGUUAGUUUCAAAAUGUUUCAUUAUAAACAUUUUGUUGACAUUUGUCAAUAACAAAUAGGCAUUUUUCCUAAAAAAAAAAAAAAAAA